ensembl:lncRNA HSD17B2-AS1 HSD17B2 antisense RNA 1
AGUUUGCCUCUACUGACUGUCAGCUGAACAUCUUGGUUAAGACUCAGACUGCCUGAUUCUUCUCUUCCACUUACAAGCCUUGGGAAAGUCACAUAUAACCAUGUGGAACCUCCACUUCCUCACAUGGAAGGACCCUCUCGCUAGAAACAUUUGGAUACAUGACAGUUCGCUUGCUCUGACCAAGGAGGAACAGCUGCCCAUACUCAGUUCCCUGGGUCUAAGAGACACUCAGACAACAUCUUUGUUAAAUUCAUUAUUUGCAAAGGCCUGGGCAGAAGACCAAAACAGAAAAAGAGGAGAACCAAAUGACAACUCGGAGGAAAUGAUCAGGACUGAGAAGGAGAGGAGAAAAUCCAAGAGGCCAGACCCUCACGUGGACCCUAUUGUCUCUUCCUUCCAACCUCCCAGCCUAUAAACACCUGUGCUAAGCCCAGCUGCCCAGCCCAGGCCCCAUCUGUGGGUGAGGCCUGAGACUUUUCGACCUUGCCUUGGCUGAGCACCGUUAUUACCACAUGCCUAAGACCCGUGCUCCAAUGCAUCUAUCAGGAAUAAAGCUGAUGUCUUAA